UAAAAAAACAAAAUCAAUAAAAAAUAGUCGAAAUCUAAUACAUGGUAGAUAUAAAAAUGAAUGCUGAUCCAUUAAUUUGGGUGUUUUAUUGAAGUUUCUAUUUCUUUUUUUUUCUGUUUUUUUUUCCUUUUUUUUUUGCAUCUUUGCUUCAUGGCUGUCACUAUAGGUAAUGGAGAAAGUAUUCAAUGUUCGCAUAGCAGCAUAUACACAGCAGAAGAUUGAAAAUUUAUUG
rnacentral:ribozyme from 1 species